rnacentral:rRNA from 1 species
GAUGAACGCUGGCGGCGUGCCUAAUACAUGCAAGUCGAGCGAACGGACGAGAAGCUUGCUUCUCUGAUGUUAGCGGCGGACGGGUGAGUAACACGUGGAUAACCUACCUAUAAGACUGGGAUAACUUCGGGAAACCGGAGCUAAUACCGGAUAAUAUUUUGAACCGCAUGGUUCAAAAGUGAAAGACGGUCUUGCUGUCACUUAUAGAUGGAUCCGCGCUGCAUUAGCUAGUUGGUAAGGUAACGGCUUACCAAGGCAACGAUGCAUAGCCGACCUGAGAGGGUAAUCGGCCACACUGGAACUGAGACACGGUCCAGACUCCUACGGGGGGCAGCAGUAGGGAAUCUUCCGCAAUGGGCGAAAGCCUGACGGAGCAACGCCGCGUGAGUGAUGAAGGUCUUCGGAUCGUAAAACUCUGUUAUUAGGGAAGAACAUAUGUGUAAGUAACUGUGCACAUCUUGACGGUACCUAAUCAGAAAGCCACGGCUAACUACGUG